rnacentral:rRNA from 1 species
UACGUAGGGGGCAAGCGUUGUCCGGAAUUAUUGGGCGUAAAGAGCGUGUAGGCGGUCCGGUAAGUCAGCUGUGAAAGUCAAGGGCUCAACCCUUGAAAGCCGGUUGAUACUGUCGGGCUAGAGUCCGGAAGAGGAGUGUGGAAUUCCUGGUGUAGCGGUGAAAUGCGCAGAUAUCAGGAGGAACACCAAUGGCGAAGGCAGCACUCUGGGACGUGACUGACGCUGAGACGCGAAAGCGUGGGGAGCAAACAGG